ACAACAACACCGCCUGGCUCAACGCCUUCACCCACUGAGUGUCACGUUUGUUUUGAUGUCUUUUUGAACACGGUGCAUACGUAUGGAAGGAUUUUCAUCGCAGCGCUCAUUUUGAACUGUAUUACAGAGAUUAUUAUGAUAGUAGGAACAAGUUAUCUUCAUGGUUUCUACGCAAUUCUCCUCAAAUCACCAUCAGUAAAAACGUUUGAUUCAAAGGAAUUGCACAAACUUCGAAACGGAGCAAUUGUGUCCAUGUGCUUAUCUCUCAAAGAAAACUGGAAAAGAAACAAGCUCUCAUCAUUUUUUGGAUAUAUGUCGGCGUUUUCCUUGGU